rnacentral:piRNA from 1 species
UGAACCUACUUGAUCAUGGUGGGCGAUGU